UACGGAGGGUGCGAGCGUUAUCCGGAAUUACUGGGUUUAAAGGGUGCGUAGGCGGCCCUGUAAGUCAGGAGUGAAAGUUUGCGGCUCAACCGUAAAAUUGCUUUUGAUACUGCGGGGCUAGAAUUAGGAUGAGGUCAGCGGAAUGUGGCAUGUAGCGGUGAAAUGCAUAGAUAUGCCAUGGAACACCAAUUGCGAAGGCAGCUGGCUAGACCUGGAUUGACGCUGAGGCACGAAAGCGUGGGGAGCGAACAGG
rnacentral:rRNA from 1 species